UCAGAGCUGAGAUGCGCUUGACCAAGUGUUGAGCUUGUGUCUCCAAGUCCACGUUCUUUUGGGACGUUGGUACUACAAUGCAUGACCUCAUUGGGGUAGGACAACCCGCUAGACUUAAGCAUAUUAAUCAGCGGAGGAAAAGAAACUAACCAGGAUUCCCCUAGUAACUGCGAGUGAAGCGGGAUCGGCUCAAUGUGUGAAUCUGGCUUGGGGUAGUUCCCUGGUCCGAGUUGUGCACUAUGGACGUUUCGUCUGCGUUUGUAAUGGCGGUGGAAGUCCGUUGAAACACGGCACCUCAGAGGGUCACAGUCCUGUACCACCUGCCUGCACUCGCGCCAAUGACAAGCGCUCCUCGAGUCGCGUAGUUUUGUAAUGCUGCGCCAAGUGGGAGGUAGAGACCUUCUAAGGCUAAAUAUGAUGACGUGACCGAUAGCACACAAGUACCGCGAGGGAAAGGUGAAAAGCAACCAUGAAAAAUGGGUUGAAACAGUAGUGAAAGCGCUACCGGGAUAAGGGCUAUUGGGUGCUGGGGCUUCUCGGGUGUGCUUCAGUGCUACCCUUGGAGACGGCCCGCGUGGGUUGAUUGGGGUGAUAAACGUGCUGUUGGAAUUCGGCUGUCUUUGGGCAGUGUGUAGCCUUCAGUCAC
rnacentral:rRNA from 1 species